AUCAUCGUCUCCCUAGUUAAAUUUUAACAACUGGGAUGAGAAAAGACCUUUGUCCUAGAGAUAAAGUCAGAGGUGUUAUAAGCUUAUUAUCCUGGAAGUAAUGGAUUUAAUCUCAGUUUUGAAAAAGGCUGGAAUACAUCCCAGCUAACCAAAGUCCAGGACACGAUCAGCAGACUGCGAGCGAGCUCUUUCGCCCUAGAUAGCAGCAGAGCUGGUCCAAGCUGCUGUCAUCCUAGAGUUUCCUCUAGGGAACAGGACCUGUGGUGUCUAUCAGCCAGGCGGGCAGGAGGCAGUGCUGAACAUGGUACUAGUCACCUGGUACUUCUAGAGAGGCUGAGUUUCCCAGGGUGUUACCUGUGUCAUGAGGGGGAAGACUGGCCACCCAUCUACUCCCAUCUUUGUGAAAAAGAAGCUGAGACAGUGCGCGCAGCUGUGGCCUUGGCAGAGGAGUAGAGAGGGAAGUGCCGGGGAAGAAAUCUGAAAGAGCAUUUUCUGACAGGGCUGAGGGCAGCUGGCAGCCCCAACCCGGACCUGAGGUUUCUGCAUGAAGUUCUGCCCUGGCCCGUGUGUGAGUGAACAGCAGGGCCUUGGGGGAAGGCUGUGGCCAGCUCAAGCUGUGAGGAGGAAAACCUGAUCCACAAAAAUGCCAGCCAGUGUUACCUUCUCAAUAAAUUUUGGGAGAGAGAAAGCAAGAGACAG